AGUAAAAGUCGUAACAAGGUUUCCGUAGGUGAACCUGCGGAAGGAUCAUUAUCGAGUUUUGUAGUGGGUUGCUUGAGCUGGCAUUGCAGGUGCUCGGCGACUUCACUCUCUCAUCCAUUACACCCCUUGUGCACUAUGAAGCGAGGUUGAAUCGAGUUGUAAUGACUCUGAGGAGACUAAGCUUUCUUUAUAUAAACUCAUUUAUUGUCUUGGAGAAUGUGAUAGCCUCUUUGUGGGCGAAAAAGUUAUAAUACAACUUUCAACAACGGAUCUCUUGGCUCUCGCAUCGAUGAAGAACGCAGCGAAAUGCGAUAAGUAAUGUGAAUUGCAGAAUUCAGUGAAUCAUCGAAUCUUUGAACGCACCUUGCGCUCCUUGGUAUUCCGAGGAGCAUGCCUGUUUGAGUGUCAUGAUAUUCUCAAUCUUAUUGAUUUCUUGUUAAUAAGAUUGGAGUUGGAGGUCUGCUGGUUCGUCUUGAAUCGGCUCCUCUUGAAUGCAUUAGCUGGGCUUAUGCUCGAUGCAACAGUGUAAUAAUUGUUUUACCACUGGUGUGACUUGCAUGAUGGGUCCGCUUCUAAUCGUCUCUGUCGAGACAUUAUGGGAACACUUCGUUCUCUGAUCUCUUUGACCUCAAAUCAGGUAGGACUACCCGCUGAACUUAAGCAUAUCAAUAAGCGGAGGAAAAGAAACUAACAAGGAUUCCCCUAGUAACUGCGAGUGAAGCGGGAAAAGCUCAAAUUUAAAAUCUGGCGGCUUUGCUGCCCGAGUUGUAAUCUGGAGAAGCGUCUUCCGUGC
rnacentral:rRNA from 1 species